UACAGAGGGUGCAAGCGUUGUUCGGAAUUAUUGGGCGUAAAGGGCGCGUAGGCGGUGCGGUAAGUCUGUAGUGAAAUCUCUGGGCUCAACUCAGAGUCUGCUAUAGAAACUGCCGUGCUGGAGUGUGGGAGAGGUGAGUGGAAUUCCCGGUGUAGCGGUGAAAUGCGUAGAUAUUGGGAGGAACACCAGUGGCGAAGGCGGCUCACUGGACCGGUACUGACGCUGAGGCGCGAAAGCGUGGGGAGCAAACGGG
rnacentral:rRNA from 1 species